UGGGGAAUUUUGGACAAUGGGCGAAAGCCUGAUCCAGCAAUGCCGCGUGUGUGAAGAAGGCCUUCGGGUUGUAAAGCACUUUUGUCCGGAAAGAAAUCCUUGGCUCUAAUACAGUCGGGGGAUGACGGUACCGGAAGAAUAAGCACCGGCUAACUACGUGCCAGCAGCCGCGGUAAUACGUAGGGUGCAAGCGUUAAUCGGAAUUACUGGGCGUAAAGCGUGCGCAGGCGGUUUGCUAAGACCGAUGUGAAAUCCCCGGGCUCAACCUGGGAACUGCAUUGGUGACUGGCAGGCUAGAGUAUGGCAGAGGGGGGUAGAAUUCCACGUGUAGCAGUGAAAUGCGUAGAGAUGUGGAGGAAUACCGAUGGCGAAGGCAGCCCCCUGGGCCAAUACUGACGCUCAUGCACGAAAGCGUGGGGAGCAAACAGGAUUAGAUACCCUGGUAGUCCACGCCCUAAACGAUGUCAACUAGUUGUUGGGGAUUCAUUCCCCUAGUAACGUAGCUAACGCGUGAAGUUGACCGCCUGGGGAGUACGGUCGCAAGAUUAAAACUCAAAGGAAUUGACGGGGUCAUAGCUGUUUCCU
rnacentral:rRNA from 1 species